CAGUAGCCGCGGGAAUACGAAGGUCCCGAGCGUUGUUCGGAAUCACUGGGCGUAAAGGGGGCGUAGGCGGCGUGGUAAGUCAGAUGUGAAAUCCCGGGGCUCAACCCCGGAACUGCAUCCGAUACUGCCGUGCUAGAGGAUUGGAGAGGUAGCUGGAAUUCUUGGUGUAGCAGUGAAAUGCGUGGAGAUCAAGAGGAACACUCGUGGCGAAAGCGAGCUACUGGACAAUAUCUGACGCUGAGGCUCGAAGGCCAGGGUAGCGAAAGGGAUUAGAUACCCGAGUAGUCCCUGUCUCUUAUAC
rnacentral:rRNA from 1 species